AAAAUAUUACCCAGCAGUGCUUUGACUACGAGAUGAGAUUGUUGUGCUGUCAUCGUGAUUGUGUUGGUGCAUCUCUACCAGCAGCACUGAAUCGAGCUUUACACAAUUCCUCCACAAGAGUAAGCACAACCACUGUACCCACAACAAGAGAUAUGACUAAAACCCUUUCAAAAAUUAUCCCUUCUAAAUGUAUUUGCCAGUGGUCCGACUGGAUGGACUUUGGCAGCCCAACAACAGGGCCUGAAGGUGGUGAAAUUGUACCAAUAAAAACAAUAACGAACACAUUUGUUAACACCUGCUCUGCUCCAACUGAGGUUGAAUGCCAUGCAAAACUUUUCCCUGGACUACUACUUUCACAACUGGGCCAGGUAGUAACAUGCAAUACUAAAGAUGGACUAGUUUGCUUAAACAAGAACCAAGGUGUUACUCAGCAAUGUUUUGAUUACGAGAUUAAAGUAUUAUGUUGUCAUGGAUUAUGUGGAGUAUCAUCAAAAAUUUCACAAACAGAUCAGUAUUUUUCCCACAGCACAAUUAUUACCACACCAAGUCUGCCAAUUAUCACAGGUUCAUUAAGAGGUCACAAAACUGCACAUCAAGAUUGUGUCUGUGAGAUUUAUGGCAGUACGUUUAAGCCAGAAUCAGAAAUUUACAAUAAAACUGAUGGUGAUGGAUGGUGUUACAUUGCUAAAUGUGUAAAAACAGAAGAGAAGAAGUGUGAUGUGAUAAAAUUAUCACAACCCUGUUUAACAACAAUAUUGCCUUCAGGUCACAACUGUGAUGGAUAUAUGCCUCCCCUUACAAAUGGUGUAUCUAUUCUUGUGGGAAAUUGCUAUAUAGACACAUGCAUAAAUGGCACAAUAGAGCAUAAACCAGUACAGUGUGAUCCUGUAG